rnacentral:rRNA from 1 species
AUUGAACGCUGGCGGCAUGCCUAACACAUGCAAGUCGAACGGUAACGACGGGAGCUUGCUCCCGGGCGACGAGUGGCGGACGGGUGAGUAAUACUUAGGAAUCUGCCCAGUAGUGGGGGACAACUCGAGGAAACUCGAGCUAAUACCGCAUACGCCUACGGGGGAAAGUGGAGGAUCUUCGGACUUCACGCUAUUGGAUGAGCCUAAGUCGGAUUAGCUUGUAGGUAGGGUAACGGCCUACCUAGGCAACGAUCCGUAGCUGGUCUGAGAGGACGAUCAGCCACACUGGAACUGAGACACGGUCCAGACUCCUACGGGAGGCAGCAGUGGGGAAUAUUGGACAAUGGGCGCAAGCCUGAUCCAGCAAUGCCGCGUGUGUGAAGAAGGCCUGCGGGUUGUAAAGCACUUUCAGUAGAGAAGAAAAGCUUACGGUUAAUACCUGUGAGUCUUGACGUAACCUACAGAAGAAGCACCGGCUAACUCCGUG